CUCGGCAAAAUGUACUAACACAGAAUUUUUGCUUUGAUUUAUGGUUAGUUUCCUUUUAUAUAUUUGACUUCGCAUACGUCUCUGUGUAUCCUACGCUCGGCGAUAUCUAUUGUUGACUCAGACAAUUUGUUUUGACUUUGACUUAGACUAACAUGGUUAUUCAUUUUGGAAUAAAAUGAUAUGAUAUAUGUUGGGAUUGUGAAACCACGUGUCCAACUCUAUAUUGUCCGAUUAGUACGAUAUUGUCUAUUUUGGGCUUUAGAGGUUGACCCGCAUGGAUUUACUUUUGGUUUCCUUCCCAAAAGGCCUUGUACUAUUAGAGUUGGACAUCUCUUUAUAUAUUAGACACUCCUUGUCUAAUUCUCCAAUGUGGGACUUAGAUUGUUAUCUCACAUUCUCCCCUUCAAACUAAGGAUCACAUUCAUCUCGUGUCCCACAACUGACUUCCAUGAUCUUUUGACUUGAUCUCUGCCACACACACCUCCCAUUCCUAACUCAUAGGAUACCCAUUCAUCACUCAUUCAUCA
rnacentral:lncRNA from 1 species